rnacentral:rRNA from 1 species
AUUGAACGCUGGCGGCAGGCCUAACACAUGCAAGUCGAGCGGCAGCGGGAAAGUAGCUUGCUACUUUUGCCGGCGAGCGGCGGACGGGUGAGUAAUGCCUGGGGAUCUGCCCAGUCGAGGGGGAUAACUACUGGAAACGGUAGCUAAUACCGCAUACGCCCUACGGGGGAAAGCAGGGGACCUUCGGGCCUUGCGCGAUUGGAUGAACCCAGGUGGGAUUAGCUAGUUGGUGAGGUAGUGGCUCACCAAGGCGACGAUCCCUAGCUGGUCUGGGAGGAUGAUCAGCCACACUGGAACUGAGACACGGUCCAGACUCCUACGGGAGGCAGCAGUGGGGAAUAUUGCACAAUGGGGGAAACCCUGAUGCAGCCAUGCCGCGUGUGUGAAGAAGGCCUUCGGGUUGUAAAGCACUUUCAGCGAGGAGGAAAGGUUGGUAGCUAAUAACUGCCAGCUGUGACGUUACUCGCAGAAGAAGCACCGGCUAACUCCGUGCCAGCCGCCGCCGUAAUAC